GUUUGUUUUACAAGAUGACAAAAGUUCUAGAGAUUGGCCACACAACAAUGAAUAGACUUAAUACUACUGAAUUGUACACUUAUGUGUGGGUAAGAUGAUAAAUUUUAUGUGUAUUUUAAAAUUAAAGCUUUUAUUAAAUUAGAAUUUAAUUAUUCAGUUAACUCACCAAAUUAACAGAAUACAGAGAAUAAAAAACAUUAUCUUAGUAGAUGGCAGGAAAAGUAUAUGUUAAAACUCAACAUUCAUUCAUGACAAAACCUCUGGGCACGCUAGAACUAGAAGGGAACUUCCUUAACAAUACAGAGCAUGAAAAACCUAUAGUUAGCAUCAUUCACAAUGGUUUGUUUUCCUUCUAAGAUUUGCUUGCUUGCUCAGUCGCUCAGUCGUGUUUGACUCUGUGCAACCCCAUGGUCUAUACAUGGAAUUCUCCAGGCAAGAAUACUGGAGUGGAUUGCCAUUCCCUUCUCCAGGGGAUCUUUCCAACCUAGGAAUCAAAGCUGGAUCUCCUGCACUGCAGGCAAAUUCUUUACAUCUGAGCCACCAGGGAAGCCCAAACAUGAAGUAUUCCAGGAAGGCCAGAAUACUGGAGUGGGUAGCCUUUCCCUUCUGCAGGAGAUGUUCCCAGACCAAGGAUUGAACCCAGGUCUCCCACACUGCAGACGGAUUCUUUACCAGCUGAGCCAGCAGGGAGGCCCAAGAAUACUGGAGUGGGUAGCCUAUCCCUUCUCCAGCGGAUCUUCCCAACCCAGAAAUCGAACUGGGGUCUCCUGCAUUGCAGGUGGAUUCUUUACCAGCUGAGCUACCUGGGAAGUCUAAGAUUUGGGGAAAGGCAAAUUCUGGGCUUCCCCAGUAGCUCAGUGGUAAAGAAUUUGCCUGCAAUGCAAGAUACUGGCUUUGAUCCCUGCAUCAGAAAGAUCCCCUGGGGGAGGAAAUGGCACCCCACUCCAAAAUACUUGCUGUCAUUUCUAGUCCACACUAUGCUUAAGACCCUACCUGGAAAUAAGGCAAGAAAGAGAAGAAGCAUAUGUAUUGUAGGAAAUGAAACUGCAGAAGACAUCAAAUGUAAUGAAACUCCUAAAUAGAUUAAAAAAAAAACAAAACUAGAAUUAGUGAGUUUAGUGGGGUAAGAUACAAGGUCAGUAUACAAAACUCAGUUGCAUGCUAGCAACAAAUAAUUGAAUAUUGAAAUUAAAACGAAGUAAUUAAGGAA
ensembl:lncRNA